AGCUGUUAGGCCGGUAUUUCUACAUCUCACACUUGCCAGCGUUUGCUAAAACUGUGGCGCAGCAAUGCGUUACCUGUCGACAGCACGAUGCAAAGCAAGGCCCGUCUGUGCCUCCCAGCAUACCAGCCUAUGGAGCAGCUCCUUUUGAAGAUCUUCAGGUGGACUUCACAGAGAUGCCUAAAUGCGGAGGUGACCGUGUGUGGAUCUAGGACUGGAACGUGGCUCCAUUGCGGCCACGGUGGAGGGGACCCCAGACCGUUAUCCUGACCACUCCCACAGCGGUAAAGGUGGAAGGAAUCCCAGCCUGGAUUUGCCACAGCCGCGUGAAGCCCGCAGCCACUGAGACCUAGGAGGCCAAACCAAGCCUGGACAAUCCCUGCAAAGUGACCCUGAGGAAAACGACAAGCCCUGCUCCAGUCAGACCCGGAAGCUGACUGGUCUACGCACGGCUGAAGCAUGAGGAAAAUUGUCUUGGGACUUAUUUUCCUUAUAACAUGGACUUGUGUGUUAAAAGCUUCCACUGCUUCUUCCCACACAGAGCACUGCCUUCAGUGCAUACAUCAGGUCACUGAGGUUAGACAAUCUUUUUAUUUUGUAGCCAUUAUGAAUGCCUAGGAAUUCCAAAGGCAACCUGUCUGUAUAAUAACACCCAGUACAAGGUAUGUGAUCCGGGAAGUGACCAGCCGGAUGUGUGCUAUGACCCCUCUGAACCUUCCAUGAUCACAGUCAUUGAAAUAAGACUAAGGACUAGUCCUUUCCUAAACGACACAAGUAAAGUAAUAGGUAAAACAGAAGAAAGGGGGGUCCCCAAAAAUGUAACCUUAAAAAUCUGAUGCCUGUGACGCUGUUAAUAGUAAGCAAUAUGGAAAAGGAUGCGGUUCUCUAGACCAGGAAAAAAGUUACACAGCAGCAAAUAAGUAUGUCUGUCAAGAAUUAUAUUUAUGUGACAUGUGUCAGUACUGGUCUUGUGUCAUUUAGGCUACCUGGAAAGAAGAUGAAAAAGAUCCAGUUGGGCUCCAGAAAGGACAAGCCAGCCGCAACCCUUUAGAACUGGUAAUCACAAACCCCACAGGCCCAAAAUGGAA